AAAUGACGGUACCUGACUAAGAAGCCCCGGCUAAAUACGUGCCAGCAGCCGCGGUAAUACGUAUGGGGCAAGCGUUAUCCGGAUUUACUGGGUGUAAAGGGAGCGUAGGCGGCUUGGUAAGUCAGAAGUGAAAGCCCGGGGCUCAACCCCGGGACUGCUUUUGAAACUAUCAUGCUAGAGUGUCGGAGAGGUAAGUGGAAUUCCUAGUGUAGCGGUGAAAUGCGUAGAUAUUAGGAGGAACACCAGUGGCGAAGGCGGCUUACUGGACGAUAACUGACGCUGAGGCUCGAAAGCGUGGGGAGCAAACAGGAUUAGAUACCCUGGUAGUCCACGCUGUAAACGAUGAAUACUAGGUGUUGGGAAGCAAAGCUUCUCGGUGCCGCAGCUAACGCAUUAAGUAUUCCACCUGGGGAGUACGUUCGCAAGAAUGAAACUCA
rnacentral:rRNA from 1 species